UGCAAUUGUAACAAUUCUUCACCUCCCACAGAUUAUUAAUAAUGUCUUGGUAAUUGCUGAACACAACCGUCAAUGUCAUUACAGGAAGAUGAUGGAGAAAAAUUGUCUGCGGCAUUCAAAAGGGAAGAGGAAAGGCCUAUUGAGGAUGAAAUCGAAUCCAAUGAGAGGCCAUCCACUUCUAAAUCACAGCUUACCUCUGUAAGAUUCUCCCUGGAAUUAUAAUGAAACGCUCUACUUGGCACUGUGAAAUCCAAUGUCAUCUUUUGCAUUCCUAUAGCUUCCAGUCA